rnacentral:rRNA from 1 species
AACGAACGCUGGCGGCAUGCCUAACACAUGCGAGUCGAACGAGACCUUCGGGUCUAGUGGCGCACGGGUGCGUAACGCGUGGGAACCUGCCCUUAGGUUCGGAAUAACUCCCCGAAAGGGGUGCUAAUACCGGAUAAUGCCUUCGGACCAAAGAUUUAUCGCCUUUGGAUGGGCCCGCGUUGGAUUAGCUAGUUGGUAGGGUAAAAGCCUACCAAGGCGACGAUCCAUAGCUGGUCUGAGGGGUUGAUCAGCCACACUGGGACUGAGACACGGCCCAGACUCCUACGGGAGGCAGCAGUGGGGAAUAUUGGACAAUGGGCGAAAGCCUGAUCCAGCAAUGCCGCGUGAGUGAUGAAGGCCUUAGGGUUGUAAAGCUCUUUUACCCGGGAUGAUAAUGACAGUACCGGGAGAAUAAGCGCCGGCUAACUCCGUG